rnacentral:rRNA from 1 species
AUGCGAUGGUCGCCGUCCCCUGCCGAGACAUUCCCGCCUAGCCACUCCACUGCGCCCCAGUGCCACCUAUCCCGCCUCACCCACCGUCGUGCCCAACCGGUUGAAAGAAACGCAAGAGUGAGGGACGACGGAGACGCGCAAACAGCAACAAUUUUUUUAUUAUUCAGUACUGCUACCAAAAGGUCAUUCUAUGACAAAGAACUCAUUGGGAAACAGCAGUUGAACCGGGUUACCUGGUAUAAGACCAACAUAUUGUUCCCAAAAAGAAACAUAAGUUGCAAUUUUAUAAGAUGGAAAAGCAUACAAAAUAAAAGAAAGAAUUGGGAUAUACAUCCACAUGGGUUGCUA